rnacentral:rRNA from 1 species
AAAUUGAAGAGUUUGAUCAUGGCUCAGAUUGAACGCUGGCGGCAGGCCUAACACAUGCAAGUCGAACGGUAACAGGAAGCAGCUUGCUGCUUUGUUGACGAGUGGCGGACGGGUGAGUAAUGUCUGGGAAACUGCCUGAUGGAGGGGGAUAACUACUGGAAACGGUGGCUAAUACCGCAUAACGUCGCAAGACCAAAGAGGGGGACCUUCGGGCCUCUUGCCAUCAGAUGUG